rnacentral:snRNA from 1 species
GUGCUUGUUUUGGCAGCACAUAUUCUAAAAAUUGAAACAAUACAGAGAAGAUUAACAUGGCCCCUGGGCAAGGAUGACAUGCAAAUUCAUGAAGCAUUCUGUAUUUUU